AUUGAACGCUGGCGGCAGGCCUAACACAUGCAAGUCGAGCGGAUGAAGGGAGCUUGCUCCUGGAUUCAGCGGCGGACGGGUGAGUAAUGCCUAGGAAUCUGCCUGGUAGUGGGGGAUAACGUCCGGAAACGGGCGCUAAUACCGCAUACGUCCUGAGGGAGAAAGUGGGGGAUCUUCGGACCUCACGCUAUCAGAUGAGCCUAGGUCGGAUUAGCUAGUGGUGGGGUAAAGGCCUACCAAGGCGACGAUCCGUAACUGGUCUGAGAGGAUGAUCAGUCACACUGGAACUGAGACACGGUCCAGACUCCUACGGGAGGCAGCAGUGGGGAAUAUUGGACAAUGGGCGAAAGCCUGAUCCAGCCAUGCCGCGUGUGUGAAGAAGGUCUUCGGAUUGUAAAGCACUUUAAGUUGGGAGGAAGGGCAGUAAGUUAAUACCUUGCUGUUUUGACGUUACCAACAGAAUAAGCACCGGCUAACUUCGUG
rnacentral:rRNA from 1 species